rnacentral:lncRNA from 1 species
CGGGGUAUUGAGGUUUAUGGUUUUGGCGCCCAUACCGGACGGGGUAUGGGGACGGCCCGUUUCACCCUCAUACCGGACGGGGUAUUGAGGUUCAUGGUUUUGGCGCCCAUACCGGACGGGGUAUGGGGACGGCCCUGGAAACUGAUUAUGAAUGUUAAAGAUUAACGGGUAGCGGAACCCCUAUGGACCCCCACGGAUACUAGUAGGCUGGUAAAUAAGGAAAAUAUGUUGUACAAUGAUUGAAUUACAAGAGGCGUGAUAAGUGUUAUGUUUUACAGCUUAGAUUAUUCAAUGAU